rnacentral:rRNA from 1 species
UACGUAGGGGGCAAGCGUUGUCCGGAUUUAUUGGGCGUAAAGAGCGUGUAGGCGGCCAGGUAGGUCCGUUGUGAAAACUCGAGGCUCAACCUCGAGACGUCGAUGGAAACCAUCUGGCUAGAGUCCGGAAGAGGAGAGUGGAAUUCCUGGUGUAGCGGUGAAAUGCGCAGAUAUCAGGAGGAACACCGGUGGCGAAGGCGGUUCUCUGGGCCUGUACUGACGCUGAGGAGCGAAAGCGUGGGGAGCGAACAGG